rnacentral:rRNA from 1 species
UACGUAGGGUGCAAGCGUUGUCCGGAAUUAUUGGGCGUAAAGAGCUCGUAGGCGGUUUGUUGCGUCGGCUGUGAAAACCUGAGGCUCAACCUCAGGCCUGCAGUCGAUACGAGCAGACUAGAGUGUUGCAGGGGAGACUGGAAUUCCUGGUGUAGCGGUGAAAUGCGCAGAUAUCAGGAGGAACACCAAAGGCGAAGGCAGGGUUCUGGGUCGUUUCUGACGCUAAGGUGCGAAAGCCAGGGGAGCGAACGGG